GACGAACGCUGGCGGCGUGCUUAACACAUGCAAGUCGAACGGAAAGGCCCUGCUUUUGUGGGGUGCUCGAGUGGCGAACGGGUGAGCAACACGUGAGUAACCUGCCCUUGACUUUGGGAUAACUUCAGGAAACUGGGGCUAAUACCGGAUAGGAGCUCCUGCUGCAUGGUGGGGGUUGGAAAGUUUCGGCGGUUGGGGAUGGACUCGCGGCUUAUCAGCUUGUUGGUGGGGUAGUGGCUUACCAAGGCUUUGACGGGUAGCCGGCCUGAGAGGGUGACCGGCCACAUUGGGACUGAGAUACGGCCCAGACUCCUACGGGAGGCAGCAGUGGGGAAUAUUGCACAAUGGGCGGAAGCCUGAUGCAGCAACGCCGCGUGCGGGAUGACGGCCUUCGGGUUGUAAACCGCUUUCGCCUGUGACGAAGCGUGAGUGACGGUAAUGGGUAAAGAAGCACCGGCUAACUACGUGCCAGCAGCCGCGGUGAUACGUAGGGUGCGAGCGUUGUCCGGAUUUAUUGGGCGUAAAGGGCUCGUAGGUGGUUGAUCGCGUCGGAAGUGUAAUCUUGGGGCUUAACCCUGAGCGUGCUUUCGAUACGGGUUGACUUGAGGAAGGUAGGGGAGAAUGGAAUUCCUGGUGGAGCGGUGGAAUGCGCAGAUAUCAGGAGGAACACCAGUGGCGAAGGCGGUUCUCUGGGCCUUUCCUGACGCUGAGGAGCGAAAGCGUGGGGAGCGAACAGGCUUAGAUACCCUGGUAGUCCACGCUGUAAACGGUGGGUACUAGGUGUGGGGUCCAUUCCACGGGUUCCGUGCCGUAGCUAACGCUUUAAGUACCCCGCCUGGGGAGUACGGCCGCAAGGCUAAAACUCAAAGGAAUUGACGGGGCCCCGCACAAGCGGCGGAGCAUGCGGAUUAAUUCGAUGCAACGCGUAGAACCUUACCUGGGUUUGACAUGGAUCGGGAGUGCUCAGAGAUGGGUGUGCCUCUUUUGGGGUCGGUUCACAGGUGGUGCAUGGCUGUCGUCAGCUCGUGUCGUGAGAUGUUGGGUUAAGUCCCGCAACGAGCGCAACCCUUGUUCACUGUUGCCAGCACGUUAUGGUGGGGACUCAGUGGAGACCGCCGGGGUCAACUCGGAGGAAGGUGGGGAUGACGUCAAGUCAUCAUGCCCCUUAUGUCCAGGGCUUCACGCAUGCUACAAUGGCUGGUACAGAGAGUGGCGAGCCUGUGAGGGUGAGCGAAUCUCGGAAAGCCGGUCUCAGUUCGGAUUGGGGUCUGCAACUCGACCUCAUGAAGUCGGAGUCGCUAGUAAUCGCAGAUCAGCAACGCUGCGGUGAAUACGUUCCCGGG
rnacentral:rRNA from 1 species